rnacentral:rRNA from 1 species
GGAGUUUGGACCGUGUCUCAGUUCCAAUGUGGGGGACCUUCCUCUCAGAACCCCUACUGAUCGUCGGCCAGGUGGGCCGUUACCCCGCCUGCAACCUAAUCAGACGCAUCCCCAUCCCAUAGCGGUGAACCUUUGGUAUUCCUCAGAUGUCAUCGAAAUACAACAUAGAGUAUUAAUCCGACUUUCGCCGGGCUAUCCUCUAGUAAGGGGAAGGUUGGAUACGCGUUACUCACCCGUGCGCCGGUCGCCAUCAAAGGAAGCAAGCUUCCUUCAUGCUGCCCCACGACUUGCAUGUGUUAAGCCUGUAGCUAGCGUUCAUC